rnacentral:lncRNA from 1 species
GAUAAAUAGAAAGAUCAUAGGUUCUUAAAAAAAACAGAUCAUCGAUAGUCAUAAAAGGCCUUUUAACCACUGAACAAGUUCCAGAUAGGAUUUCCAAGGUCUCAUUUCCCACUGCUACUAUCUCCUACUGUAGAGUAUCAUUUAGCAAAAUAUUCGAAAUCCCUCCCCUUAUUCCUCGUGUCUAGUCCAAAGAAUGACAUGAAUUUGGCAAAGAAACCCUUUCCAAGACAGGUAUUGUCAACAUUCAACAUAACUGUGUCUUCUAACAUUUCGUCCAUCUUGAAUAGGCAUAUCCCUAACCAUGUUUUCCACAUCAUAAAGUUUAAAACCAAUGACAAUUGAACUUGAGAAUGGCAAGAGGAGAACUAGAAUAUUUCAUUUUGUUCUAGAUGGUAAGAUCUUCUCACCAUUAUAUUGCAUUAUAAAUAAAUUAGAGAAAAAACUGCCAUGUGUAGUAGAAUGAGUAGGGAAAUUAGCAAUGUACCUCUUUGCGACAUUUCAGUCACAUCUCACAGUCUAAUCCUAGAUAACGCAGCUCAACUCAGUUGAGAAUAUAAAAAACCUCAUCAGGUUCUAGUUGUUAUAUGAUAUAAAUAUUCAACUGCUAAGUUUCCCGUAAGGGAUUGCAGACUUCGCACCCAAUGGUGUGAACAUGAUUCGGAUCCAACAGGGGGAAAACAGCUAAUUGAUUCCUUUGCAUCUACUAAGCCUUGGUGGGUACAAUUACCCAAUAUCUUUACUGGUGAGAGGAUGCAAGAGCUCGGUAGAACAGUCGAGGUGUAUGCAAGUUGUCUUGGAAUUUCCAUUUAUAUAUGGAAAAAAUGGAACUGCAAACUUCACCUAUUCCUUCAUUAAUUAGUAAUGCAAGAUAGCUAAUCAAGAUUAAUCAGUAAUGACAUGGGAGAGAUUUCCUAAUAACAAGGGCCCUCUAACCAUUGAUAUGUUGGGAGUUCGAGUCACCAAGAGAGCAAAGUGGAGAAGGCUAUUGCCAGGCUCUUAGGUAGGGAGUUCGGUUUGGUGCUAGGUUAUCAUAUAAUUAAACAAAUAAAAGUGGAAAAAAGGUUCUCAAUCAAUAAUGUACAGACAGAUAAAAACAGGAUACACUACAGCUGGUCAAGCACUCAACGUAAAAAAGGAAUUAUGCUCUUCUUCUUUUGGAAAUGGAUCUUCUUUUCUCCUUUUUUGGUAAGUUAAAAAUUAUUUAAUGAAUAAAAUGAAGGUGCAAAAAACAAAAUCCAAGCUAAUAUGUUAUGACUUUUUUUUGUGAUAAAGUAAGUAGAUUCAUUGAAUGGCAUCGAGAAGAUACAGCGAUAACAAAAGUAGAGAGCUAGCUCCAUAACAAGAUGUUCUGAUAGGGGCUGGGAGCGCGCCAAAAAAGAGUAGAUUAGAGAGGCUAGACUAGACUAGAGUGAGAGAGGUCACAAAAUCUGAAAAGACAGAAGAACUAUUUGCAUAGGACUGGUUGGUCCAACUAAAGAGACUGAGCUAAUAUGUUAUGACCUAUGAGGGCAUUUAUUUCCCUUCCCGUUUUGGCUAUUCAGAGAUAACAGCAACUCCACUCUUACAAGAUUGUACCUUAUGUCAUCAUACACCAUAAGUACAAGCACACUCACAUGUUACAGCCGUGACAACCACUGCUAAAGUUACAGAGACAACUUUAGCAAGUUCAAUACUAUCUUGAUCACUUCUAUAACCCUUGGUAUGUUUGGCACAUUAUUGACUCAUGACCUUUUACCUCCAGAAAAUAAUGCAUUCGAAGAUGGUCCAGCAGAAAAUUUUAUUACACAAGUACAUUAAACAUUGAACUUUUCUCAUGCACAUGCUUAGACACAAGCUUAAGAAGAUCUAAUCCAAUUAAGCAGAAUUGUUUCCCUCAAACCUCCUGUCAUCAAAUAGUCAUCAAAUACUGACAACUACUAAAAAGGGUUUUCAGCAAUCAUAACUGAUAACUGAGGAUUUGAAGAGCUAUGAACUAUAAAUUACAGAUCAAUCAAGCCACCAUGCAUUCCCACAAGCAUAAACCUACAAAGAGAACUCCCAAACACUCACCUAGCACAGGCUACAUCAUCUCACACUUGCAUCCUUCCUUUUCAGGCUAAGUGGCAAAUACUAAAAGUUAUAUAAGUGCUAAACAAUAUGAGAUAACAAAGAACCAUAUUCACAGAUCCUUUCCUAGAGAAAAGGCCGGUAUUCAAAUGUAAUAUGUGCUUUGCUAAACAGACUAAAUCCCUAGUUAUACCUGCAAUGCUAGCAUUUUCUUCAAAGGGUUACAGUAUCUUUUAUGAAGUAGAUUUGGUACAAAUUAUAUUGACACUAAAAAUCAUUGCUAGUUAGUACCUCACUUAAAAUGAAGGUACAUCUGCAAAUUCACAAAGCUAAGAACGAAAAGAAACUAAAUGCUCAAGUAAGAGAGGACCCCAUUUGCUUCUCUUCUGCACCUAGCUGACAGCAUGUUUACUGUACAUAAUGGCCCCCUAUGCCUAUUGGACCAGCCUCUCUACCCUCACAAGGUAGGGAUAACGUCUGCGUACACACUAACCUCCCCAGACCCAACGGUCUGGGAUAAUACUGGUAUGUUGUUGUUGUUGGCUCCGUAGGAGACAAUCUUUCCGCACCUGCACUAUUCCUAUCCCCUGCUCCUUCAAGAAGUAUCCUCAUAAGGGAAGGCCAUCUUGCACCUAAGGAUAUAGCUUAGUGGUCAAUGAAGUAGGUGAGAACCAUGAGAUCCGCUCAGAGGGAAAAAACAUUAGGUGAUUUCUUCCCAUCUAUCCA